GCUUACGGCCAUACCAACCUGGCUAUGCCCGAUCUCGUCUGCUCUCGGAAGCUAAGCAGGUUUGGGCCUGGUUAGUACUUGGAUGGGAGACCGCUUGGGAAUACCAGGUGCUGUAAGCU
rnacentral:rRNA from 1 species